ACAACCGUAGACAGACAGACAGAGAGAGAGAGAGAGGAGAGGGUGGAGGGUUUGGACGUUGGGUCCCACGCCCCGUCCCCAUCCACCCUUCAAUUAUUGCUCCCUUGUUCCCAGUCCUCUCUCUCCCUCUCCCUUGAUCCCCUCUGGGUUCUCGCUGGCAACGCCGCUGUCUCCCUCGUCCUAUUCUUGUUUUCUCUUUUAUCAUUCCAUUACGUACCCUCCACCCCUAAACGCCCCUCUCCUCCUUUUCUUUGCCCCCCCAACCCUCCUCUCUCUCUCUCUCUCUCCGAUCACCCUUCUAAUCUCGGCAAGCGGCUGCAGACUUAUCUGUGUGCUAGUAGCAAUGAUGCAUACCAUGCCGACCAGUUUAUUCUUCUACCUCGCUAUUUCUUGCUUGCUUUGGUCGGCGGCUGCGAUGAGUGCGUACGAGGUGCUGAAAUCCCAUGGCUUGCCGAUGGGGCUGCUGCCGAAAGGGGUGAAGGACUUCCAGGUCGACGGCGACGGGCGGUUCGAGGUCCGGCUGGACGCGGCGUGCACGGCCAAGUUCGAGAGCCAGAGCGAAGUCCGCUUCAACUCCACCGUCUCCGGCACGCUCUCCUACGGCCAGAUCGCCGCCCUCUCGGGCGUCGCCGCCCAGGAGCUCUUCCUCUGGUUCCCCGUCCUCGGCAUCCGCGUCGACAUCCCCAGCUCCGGCCUCAUCUACUUCGACGUCGGCGUCAUCUACAAGCGCUUCUCCCUCUCCCUCUUCGAGACCCCUCUGGAUUGCAUCCCCUUGUCCUCCUCUUCCUCACCCCAAGCCCGCCUCCCCUCCCAGAAUCGAUCGGGAAAGCUGCGUUACAAGCUCGAUCAAGAUGAUGCUCAAAGGCCGGUUCUUUGAAUCGAUGAAGAAUAGAAUCAUAUACCUUGUUUUAGAGAAGUCUUAUGGCUUAGUCUUGGCUCGGCUUGGCUUCUAUAAUGUGUGUGAAUGCAGUGUAGUGCAGAUUCCCUCGGAUUUGCUCUAUCCUAGCGAUGCAGAAAAUUUUGACACAGUGAUGAAGGAUGGGGUCGUCGUCACAGUGAGAACAAUGUGAUAAGAUUCGAGAGGAUAUAGGAAAAGGAGUUGAGGGAGUUCAAUUCCAUCCAAAUGAAAUCUGCAGUUGCAGGCACAACAGGUGAGCAGAUAUUGCAAUGCUUUGGGCGAAGAGUUCUGGCAGAGAAAGGUGGAUAUCUCCAAGUUGUGUGAAAUUUUAUUGUUAGCUCCAAAAAAACAGCUUAAGAGAUCAGUAUGGAUGUUAGAAUUCUUAUAGACAUCGUAAAUGGGCAUUUUUGGUGUAGAUCACUUCAGUCGAUUUCUGAUGAUGGGUUGCCAAUUUAGAUAUUGAUGUUGCCCGUAAUGUUCUUCACAAAGAACCAAGCACACUGGUCAUCCAAAGCCUCAAACAGAACAACAAAUAUGGCAGAAGUGGGUUUAGAUAUUUGAAAAGUUGUGAAUAUAAAGAAGAUUAUCUAUUUAUUUGUUCUAUUGUUUGAUUUGUGUUGUGCGUGCUGGGUCUAUAAUGACUAGGUUUUGAUGCUGCCUCCUUUCUGCUUACCACAUCUACAGCGGUAGUGCGCUAGUUUGGAUUUGGAUUGGUGCAGAAUGUUCCUCAAUUAAAUUUGAUAUGAUCUAUUCUUCUAGGCAAAGGCUCUGUGGGAGUGAUAUCAAGCUGUCUGCUGUGGAUUAAAGUGAAAAAUUGAAAUUUAUGCAGCUGCUUGAUGUGCAAGAAAGUAAUUUAUUUUCGUAACACGUGCAAGAAGGCUGUUGCAGUGAAAGCAAAUUUUUUGUUUUAAAUUGGAGACCAUGGCAAAGAGGGCAAAUUGUUGUGUACCAAUUAAUGUGUAUCACUCAUGGAUCCUGAACAGGGCUUGAUGAAGACAAAUGAGAUUAUGGUGAGAUGGUUGUGUUCGAGGGGGGGGGACCAAUUCAUUCAGGUUAUUGCCGAAAAACUGACACUCUUUUAAGGCUGUGAAGAGGAAUGCUUCCUUGCAAAUGGUACACAAUUUGUUGUUUUCCUUUCUCUAUUGCAUGUGUUGCAUGCUAGGGGGGUUCUUGAUUUAAGAUGUGCACCGACGGGCAGCUAAUACAAUUAUUGGUUCACAAUACUGAUACGCGUGAGGCCACCUUUUGCCGCAACUUGAAGAGGAUAAAAGUGAAAAAAAGAAAGUUCAUGUGCAAAGUUGUUUUUUUUCUUUUAAAGGAUAGCUAAAUAAGAGUGAACUGGCGAGAAGAUAAUGGAAUUGAAUUCCCUUAA